rnacentral:tRNA from 1 species
GCCGCGGUGGUCUAGUGGCUAAGGUACUCGGCUGCUGACCGGCAGGUCGCGGGUUCGAUUCCCGUCUGCGGCG